rnacentral:rRNA from 1 species
CGUAUAUUAAAGUUGUUGCGGUUAAAAAGCUCGUAGUUGGAUUUCUGUUGAGGUCGGCCGGUCCCUACUUCGUAGGCGUAUCUGGUUCAGCCUUGGCAUCCUCCUAGGGAACGGUACUGCUCUUAACUGAGUGGUCCGGUAUCUAGGACUUUUACUUUGAGGAAAUUAGAGUGUUUACGGCAGGCAAUCGCCUUGAAUAUGUUAGCAUGGAAUAAUAAUAUAGGACCUUGGUUCUAUUUUGUUGGUUUCUAGGACUAAGGUAAUGAUUAAUAGGGAUAUUUGGGGGCAUUCGUAUUAACCGGUCAGAGGUGGAAUUCUUGGAUUCGGUUACGACGAACUACUGCGAAAGCAUUUGCCAAGGAUGUUUUCAUUGAUCAAGAACGAAAGUGUGGGGAUCGAAGAUGAUUAGAUACCGUCGUAGUCUACACCAUAAACUAUGCCAACUAAGGAUCGGAGGUUGUCAUUAUAUAACUCCUUCGGCACUUUUCGAGAAAUCAAAGUUUUUGGGUUCCGGGGGGAGUAUGGUCGCAAGGCUGAAACUUAAAGG